rnacentral:rRNA from 1 species
UUCGCCCUUAGAGUUUGAUCCUGGCUCAGGAUGAACGCUGGCGGCGUGCUUAACACAUGCAAGUCGAACGGAACUCUUAUGAUAGAGACUUCGGUCAAUUGACUAUGAGUUUAGUGGCGGACGGGUGAGUAACGCGUGAGGAACCUGCCUCUCAGAGGGGGACAACAGUUGGAAACGACUGCUAAUACCGCAUAACGCACAGGUGUCGCAUGGCACUUGUGCCAAAGAUUUAUCGCUGAGAGAUGGCCUCGCGUCUGAUUAGCUGGUUGGUAGGGUAACGGCCUACCAAGGCGACGAUCAGUAGCCGGACUGAGAGGUUGACCGGCCACAUUGGGACUGAGAUACGGCCCAGACUCCUACGGGAGGCAGCAGUGGGGAAUAUUGCACAAUGGGCGCAAGCCUGAUGCAGCAACGCCGCGUGAGGGAAGACGGUUUUCGGAUUGUAAACCUCUGUCUUUGGUGACGAAGAAGUGACGGUAGCCAAGGAGGAAGCCACGGCUAACUACGUGCCAGCAGCCGCGGUAAUACGUAGGUGGCAAGCGUUAUCCGGAAUUACUGGGUGUAAAGGGAGCGCAGGCGGGACAGCAAGUCAGCGGUGAAAUUUAUGGGCUCAACCCGUAAACUGCCGUUGAAACUGUUGUUCUUGAGUGGAGUAGAGGCAGGCGGAAUUCCGAGUGUAGCGGUGAAAUGCGUAGAUAUUCGGAGGAACACCAGUGGCGAAGGCGGCCUGCUGGGCUCUAACUGACGCUGAGGCUCGAAAGUGUGGGGAGCAAACAGGAUUAGAUACCCUGGUAGUCCACACUGUAAACGAUGAUUGCUAGGUGUGGGGGGUCUGACCCCCUCCGUGCCGGAGUUAACGCAAUAAGCAAUCCACCUGGGGAGUACGGCCGCAAGGCUGAAACUCAAAGGAAUUGACGGGGACCCGCACAAGCAGUGGAUUAUGUGGUUUAAUUCGAAGCAACGCGAAGAACCUUACCAGGUCUUGACAUCGAGUGACGAACUAAGAGAUUAGUUCUUCCUUCGGGACACGAAGACAGGUGGUGCAUGGUUGUCGUCAGCUCGUGUCGUGAGAUGUUGGGUUAAGUCCCGCAACGAGCGCAACCCCUGCCAUUAGUUGCUACGCAAGAGCACUCUAAUGGGACCGCUACCGACAAGGUGGAGGAAGGUGGGGACGACGUCAAAUCAUCAUGCCCCUUAUGACCUGGGCUACACACGUAAUACAAUGGCCGUUAACAAAGGGAUGCAAAGCUGCGAAGCCGAGCCAAACCCCAAAAACGGUCCCAGUUCGGAUUGUAGGCUGCAACUCGCCUACAUGAAGUUGGAAUUGCUAGUGAUCGUGGAUCAGCAUGCCACGGUGAAUACGUUCCCGGGUCUUGCACACACCGCCCGUCA